rnacentral:lncRNA from 1 species
UUAUAUAUGUAACCCCUAUAAAAAUAUCAAUAUGUGUCAAUAAAUAGUAAUAUUAUAGAUUUUUUUUCGAAAUUGAAGAAGGCGCCAUUUUCGCCUAUUUCUCUAUUACGUCUAUUGGUCUGCUAUAAUUAUUAGAUGAUUCUAAAAAAUUUCCGCCUCGAUUUUUUUUAUACUUUCAUUUUAUAUUCUUUGGUACAUAAUGCAGAUGUUAUGAAAAAAUUAGGCACUUCUAUCGAGUAGAAAUGGAGAACGGGCAUCUUUAUUUUGUAUGUCCCCACUAUGGGGGCGUGGUCCUCCUUUCACUUGUUUCUGAAGUACACGAUAGCUAUUCAUCUCUCGAAAUUAAUUUUCAACUAAAUAUCAUUGAAACAAAACGAAUAUAUUUUAAGACAUCAAUAAAUUUUAAGUGCUACUGAUUUUUUUAACAGAAUAUGCCGGAAUCGACCCCAUCCGAUGUUGU